UUCAGGGAGACAUGUGACAUCCUUGUGACACUUUGCCCCUGCAAGUUAGCUAGAGAGGGACAAUGGUUACACUUCAUAAUAUCCAAGGGCCCAGGGACAGUUAUGCCGCAUGCACAUCACAUGCCUCUUAGACCGUAGAUCCCUCUAAAACUUUUCAUCAAAUCCAUAAAACAAGAGUUAAACGAGAAUCUCAAUAUCGAUUCAAAAUCCAAAAGUUUAAUCCUUGUAGUCAUAAAAUUGCCUAUGAUAAUUGUUUUGUAUACAGAUGAGUUUAUUAGAUUCUUUGGUCUUUAACACCUUUUCAGUGUAGGGACACUUUUCUCUGAUUCUGACUACUUGCAGAUGCUUUUAAAGUAAACAGAGAGGUCAAAUGUCUGAAUCAAGAUGAUUUAAUGGAUGAUCCAUAAGGAUGCUUGUGAUUACAAAAUCUGUGGUAAUUUCACACCUCAAACUGAUGCCAAGGUUUGCCAGUACUCUGUGUUUACUACGGUUGAAUUAUGUUAAUUUUCAAUCCUGCUAAGUAGAACAACAGUGCCAUCUGCUGCUAAAAUAAUGUUUCUGCACUGGGUAGAAAUAAGGACAUUUUGGAAAUCCUCAGAAAAAAGAAAAACACUGCUCAGAUAAUAGCUCUGCCUCCCUGGCCCUUCGGCUGGAUAUGAAAAGUAUUUUAUGUAAUAAAGGUCACUUCUUCCCAGAAAUGUCAACUUCCUGCUCUUGUGACACAGGUUCUUUCAGCUAUCUGCUCACACCACCUGGAAUGGAGUAGCUUAUCUCAAAACUCAGGAGCUACAUUGAGAGGCCAUCUUGGCAACACCUCAACCAGAACUCCCCAGACCAAUGCUACUACAGAGCCUUCGCUAACCCAAAGUGGCUCACUCCCACCAAUACAUGGACAAGCUGAGGGACGUCGGUAAGUAGUUGCCAUUGGCAAUGGAGGCGGUUCAUCCUGUGAGGCUGGAUCAUUGGGGCUGGAGCGCUGUUCUCUCAGGACUCAUUGCCAAUACUGCUGCCCAUGCCGUGUUUACCAGCAUCCACCUGUGCUUGGACAGAGGUUGAGAGAGGAGGAGAAUCUUGGCUCUGCUCACGGUGCACCCUGUGUGUUUCCACGUAUGUGUGGAAAACUGUGCACUCUGUACCAAAGCAGAUUGGCACAUCUGUUGUGGGCUCCCACUUCGUCAGCAGGUCCAAACAUUGCAGGGGACUUGCAUGUUAACUAGCCAGACUUAGUGGUUGAUGACAUGACCAGUGACCCUUUGUAUUUCAUAUUGGGAUUUUGUAGUGUAAGAUUGUUACAUAACAAUUUGUAAACCAGUGGUCUUAUAGGCUAUCAGUGCCAGACCGGGUGCUCAGGAGGAACAGGGAGAUGAGAGCCCUCAUGUCCACCACUGCUUCACAUGUUGUGCCAUUAAGGACUGUCUGUUCGGCCCAGACAUCCAUACUGCUGUUGUGAUUUGGUGAGGGGAGGCAAGGUUUUAUGUGGGUUGCAGUUCCCCCAUGGCUCUAAAUAACACCCUAUCAAAAACCUUUGCGUACACUCAAAAUUGUGUAACAGCCUGUGGCUUGAUCAGUCAUUCCUGUUAAUUAAUCUAAGCUACGACGGCACAGCAUGGCAGUAUCACUGAAUAAUGUAAUACCACAUACCAUAGCAUCUAUAGCCUGGAUUAUUUACAAUGGUUGUUAUUAUAGGCUAUACAAAAGCAAAAAGACAAGAAAGUAAUUUGAAUACAACCCAAAUUAAUUUGUUGUAAGCAGCAAGUUUAUAUGAUGAUUUGGAAAAUAAAUUACAUUUGAUUUACAAUUCACAUUUUAUGUUUAUUAUAAAAUAUAUCAAGCCUAUACAACUUCUUGCACAAGUUGCAAAGUAUAGUAUUGUACAGUACAGGCAUAACUGAAACAGUGGAGAACAACAUUAAACUUUUAUUUUCCCCCCAAUACUGUAUGAAAACAGUGGGUGAGGAGGGUAUUAACCAUGUGUUUGUUAUUUCAUUUAUUAAUGAAUCUGUUAUUAAAUAUUUCAAAACAAAACAA